rnacentral:tRNA from 1 species
GGGCCGUUAGCUCAGUCGGUAGAGCAGUUGGCUUUUAACCAAUUGGUCGGUGGUUCGAGCCCACCACGGCCCACCA